rnacentral:rRNA from 1 species
GAAAGUCUGACGGAGCAACGCCGCGUGAGUGAUGAAGGUUUUCGGAUCGUAAAGCUCUGUUGUUAGGGAAGAACAAGUGCAAGAGUAACUGCUUGCACCUUGACGGUACCUAACCAGAAAGCCACGGCUAACUACGUGCCAGCAGCCGCGGUAAUACGUAGGUGGCAAGCGUUGUCCGGAAUUAUUGGGCGUAAAGGGCUCGCAGGCGGUUUCUUAAGUCUGAUGUGAAAGCCCCCGGCUCAACCGGGGAGGGUCAUUGGAAACUGGGAAACUUGAGUGCAGAAGAGGAGAGUGGAAUUCCACGUGUAGCGGUGAAAUGCGUAGAGAUGUGGAGGAACACCAGUGGCGAAGGCGACUCUCUGGUCUGUAACUGACGCUGAGGAGCGAAAGCGUGGGGAGCGAACAGGAU